GAUGAACGCUGGCGGCGUGCCUAACACAUGCAAGUCGAGCGAAGCACUUUGCUUAGAUUCUUCGGAUGAAGAGGAUUGUGACUGAGCGGCGGACGGGUGAGUAACGCGUGGGUAACCUGCCUCAUACAGGGGGAUAACAGUUAGAAAUGACUGCUAAUACCGCAUAAGACCACAGCACCGCAUGGUGCAGGGGUAAAAACUCCGGUGGUAUGAGAUGGACCCGCGUCUGAUUAGCUAGUUGGUAAGGUAACGGCUUACCAAGGCGACGAUCAGUAGCCGACCUGAGAGGGUGACCGGCCACAUUGGGACUGAGACACGGCCCAAACUCCUACGGGAGGCAGCAGUGGGGAAUAUUGCACAAUGGGGGAAACCCUGAUGCAGCGACGCCGCGUGAGUGAAGAAGUAUUUCGGUAUGUAAAGCUCUAUCAGCAGGGAAGAAAAUGACGGUACCUGACUAAGAAGCACCGGCUAAAUACGUGCCAGCAGCCGCGGUAAUACGUAUGGUGCAAGCGUUAUCCGGAUUUACUGGGUGUAAAGGGAGCGUAGACGGAUGGGCAAGUCUGAUGUGAAAACCCAGGGCUCAACCCCGGGACUGCAUUGGAAACUGUUCAUCUAGAGUGCUGGAGAGGUAAGUGGAAUUCCUAGUGUAGCGGUGAAAUGCGUAGAUAUUAGGAGGAACACCAGUGGCGAAGGCGGCUUACUGGACAGUAACUGACGUUGAGGCUCGAAAGCGUGNGGAGCAAACAGG
rnacentral:rRNA from 1 species